rnacentral:rRNA from 1 species
CCCUGCCAUCCACACUGCCCCAAACGCGCCCGAUCUCAUCUGACCUCAGAAGCUAAGCAGGGUCGGGCCUGGUCAGUCCAGUGU